GUCCUUGCCUUAAACGAUGUAUACUUGGUGUAGUUAGGCUCAACCCUGACUGUACCGUAGCCAACGCGAUAAGUAUACCGCCUGGGGAGUACGCUCGCAAGGGUAAACUCAAAAGAAUUGACGGGGACCCGCACAAGCAGUGGAGCAUGUGGUUUAAUUCGAUGCAACGCGAAGAACCUUACCUGGAUUUUGACAUGCAGUUGACCGCCACAGAAAUGUGGUUUUCUCGCAAGAGACAGCUGCACAGGUGCUGCAUGGCUGUCGU
rnacentral:rRNA from 1 species